rnacentral:lncRNA from 1 species
CUAAAAUACUGUCUGGCAUUUUUACAACUAUAGACUUAAAUGAAAGUUUGGAUAUAACUUUUUGGGCAGCUUGCUUAGUAGCAUUUUUUUUCCUUUUUCAGGAAAUCAAACCUUUUUACACCAUCUUUACAGGAAUUUAAUCCUGAUCGGCAUUUAAACAGGGCAUCGGUUAAGUUUUCGAAGGAGGGGCCACUUUAACACUCAGGAAAACAAAGACCAUACAAAAUAGGGAAAGAGCUCUAGAGCUAGUACCUUUACCUAUAAUUCCAGGUUCCCCCUUCUGUCCCUGUCAAGCUUUGAAACUAUCAUUUGAUAUAUGCCCUUCCUCUCAUAAUUUGGUGUCAGCUUUUAUGUUUUCCUCCAAGUCCAAGUUAAUGCCCCUUACAUAUAAUGGGUUUUUAGCCAGAUUAAAACAGUCUUUAAAAUCUCUAGGAUAUGAUAGUUCUAAGUACUCUGGGCACAGUUUUCGUAGAGGCGGGGCAACAUUUGCAUUAGAAUGUGGCGUUCCUUCUGAAAUUAUUCAGACACAGGGGGAUUGGAAGAGUGAUGCAUACAAAAAUUAUUUAGAUCCUUCUUUCACUCAUCCGACAGACUGUUAUGGAUGUCUUUGCAAAAGCACUUCCCAAAAUGGUAUAAAAUGGUUUUCUAAUCAUAAAAUUUUCAAUAUCAUUGUAAUCUUAGUUUUUAUUUUUCUAUGUACAAAUAUUUAUACACUAU